CAGAGAUGAGAAUGUGCCUUCGGGAACCGUGAGACAGGUGCUGCAUGGCUGUCGUCAGCUCGUGUUGUGAAAUGUUGGGUUAAGUCCCGCAACGAGCGCAACCCUUAUCCUUUGUUGCCAGCGGUCCGGCCGGGAACUCAAAGGAGACUGCCAGUGAUAAACUGGAGGAAGGUGGGGAUGACGUCAAGUCAUCAUGGCCCUUACGACCAGGGCUACACACGUGCUACAAUGGCGCAUACAAAGAGAAGCGACCUCGCGAGAGCAAGCGGACCUCAUAAAGUGCGUCGUAGUCCGGAUUGGAGUCUGCAACUCGACUCCAUGAAGUCGGAAUCGCUAGUAAUCGUGGAUCAGAAUGCCACGGUGAAUACGUUCCCGGGCCUUGUACACACCGCCCGUCACACCAUGGGAGUGGGUUGCAAAAGAAGUAGGUAGCUUAACCUUCGGGAGGGCGCUUACCACUUUGUGAUUCAUGACUGGGGUGAAGUCGUAACAAGGUAACCGUAGGGGAACCUGCGGUUGGAUCACCUCCUU
rnacentral:rRNA from 1 species